rnacentral:lncRNA from 1 species
UAGGUGAAUCUCUGGAGCAAACGUGACGCCGUGCAGACUGCGACCAGGCGGGAUCUGCAGGGUCCGUGCCGGCCGCAACUCCGCCGGCCCGGCUUCAGGGCGUCCCACCGCCGGCUGCUGUGAAGAGAGAGAGGAAGAGGCCUGCCGGCUGGUUCUGAGCAGCUAGGAACACUUCUUCCACAAUGACUGCCAUCUUGUCUCCGCACUUGGCCCGGCUCUGUAGUGCUGCCGAGGCGGCGGCUGGCUGCCCUGGGGAGCGGUACGGCGCUGGCGCGUCUUCGCCGGGCGGAACUGUGGAGCUGUUGGUGGUGGCACCGGUUAAGGCAUUCCCGGGGAGGCGAUGUGUGAGGUGUCCUUUACAUCAGCGUCACCGCCGCGCGGGUCAGCAGCCAACAGCUGACGGCCUCGGACCAGACAGAUGGCGAGAUUAGUGUGGGCCAGCCACGGACGUGUCCGAAGCGGUCCCUGCAUUGGCUGGGAACGGUCAUGACUGCGGGCUGCGGCCACGGCAACACGGCUCGUAUGGACCUGUGCCUCACUGCCGGCCCUGGUAGACAGCUGGCGCAGCCUGCGGGCAAACAGGGUCGGCGGUCCAGAGACGCCUCUCCCCAUCUCAGCCGCAGCGUCGGCCCCGCAUUCAACAGAAGACCUGGCUCUGCCUUGUGUUGCUGCCUUUCUUCAUCAGUGGACUUCGGAAUGGGUGGCGGUUGCGGCGUGGUUACUCCCCGGAUGAAGUAAUGUGUGCAC